ACAGAAGCGGGGUUUUGGUUGUUUUAUUUUUGGCUGUGUGUUGUGUUGUUUUUUUUUCCUUUCUUUCCCAGAAAGGGCUGUGGGGUAGAAGAAAGAGGCACAUGCUAAGCUUCUUUUUGGAACAAAGGGGAAAGAAAGGGCUAUGCGUGAAGAACCGAACGAGCUGCGAGGAGCAACAUAAGCUCCUUCGGAUCUGAGAAGUGCUCUGAGGACACCGACUCUGCCGCCUCCGGCACCCUCAGCCGCACUGACGCGAGGGCAGCGCCCCCACACACCGCCGGGCUCAGCCCGCGCAGCUCGGGGCCGUCACAGCCCCCACACAGCAGCGGGACAGGCGAGCUCAGCCCACACAGCUCGGUCCGGCCGCCCUCCCCGCUCGGACGGGGGCACUGCGCCGCCGCCAUUUCCCUGGCCCCCUGUGGCCCCGAGGCGGCCCGGCCCCGACGGAAGAAGCGGGAAGGCCGCACCGGGAGCGGCUCGCGGGGACUCGUGCCCGGCCCGGCUUCUCCGCCCGCCGGAGAGCAGCGCACGGAGGCGGCUGGGAGCGGAGGAAGAGAGGGAGGGAAGGAGCGGGCUCUCCUCAGCGCUGCCCCGCGCCCGCCAGCGCAGCGUUACCUAGAGCCGCAGCCCAACCCCGCGCCGCCAGCCAGGGCACCACGUCCCUCUGCAGGUCAAACUCAGCCGCCAGUCUGAGAAUCAAACGAUGAUGCUGCUCUUCUAAAGUAUGUUGUGCAAUAUGUGAAAGGCCUUUGAGCAGGAGUUAGCCAGAGUAACUGCUGAGUGUGCCAUGGAACACGAUAAAAGAAAAAUAAAGAUGUUCUCAUAUGGUAUAAGCAGAGGUUUCCUUGUGACUCUUCAAAAUCCAACACUGCUGAUGACCUUUGGGAAGUGCUUGGGAAUGUCAUUUUGAUUCCAUGGAGUAAUUAGCUGUUCUUUUUGUUCUUCCUCAAAAAAAUACACAAAUGUAUAUGAAAAAUGACAAUAAAACCACUUUUAGUUCAGAAAACAG